CAGUUCCUGUACGGCGAGUGACAGGGAUCAGUCCAGCGCUGAAUCUCGACGUUUCGGCGUCGCGACGUGUAGCGUAUAGGCGGUGUUCUUGGCUCUGGUCGAAGGCACAAGUUUCCCAUGACCGGGGCGCCAUAGAAGGUGAUAGACCUGUAGCGCCUAAGGCCUCUGCCAACUGCACUGUCUUGGAGUCGGGUUGUUUGGGAUCGCAGCCCAAAGAAGGUGGUAAACUUCAUCUAAGACUAAAUACCCCUACGAGACCGAUAGCGAACAAGUACCGUGAGGGAAAGUUGCAAAGCACUUUGAAGAGAGAGUUAAAGAGGACGUGAAACCGGUAGGAUGGAAACGGAUAGAGCCAGCGAAGUCGCUCGUAUUCAGCCAAAGGCCCGGGGCUCAUCGUCGUCGUGUUUCUAAUCGAGCACGGCGGCGACUCUGCUCUGGGCUGAGGUGCAUUUGCGGGCGUUUGCGCUGAGACUUGCGAGGCAGCUGCUGGACGGGCGUUCUAGAGGCUUCCCUCUGGGUUGAACCUGGAUGCCAAUACAGCUGUUUGCCUUGCUCGUACUGGUCUGGCCUACGAACCUGGGCUGUGUUGUUGCCUUCGGGCCAAGGCAUCGCAUGCGAUGUCUAGUCUGCGGGUUGCAGCAUGGUUCAGUGUUCCCAGAUCGCCUCUCGGUGUAGAAGCUGGUCAUCUCUCCGACCCGUCUUGAAACACGGACCAAGGAGUUUAGCGUAUGCGCGAGUCAUUGGGUGCACAAACCCACAGGCGCAAUGAAAGUAAAGGCUCGGUCGCCGGGCUGACAUGUGAGUGCCGCGGCUUCGGCCUAGGCAUGCAGCAUGGUCCCGUUGCAGCCGCUUGCGGCGCAGCGGAGACAGAGCGUAUGCGCUGAGACCCGAAAGAUGGUGAACUAUUCCUGAGCAGGACGAAGCCAGAGGAAACUCUGGUGGAAGUCCGAAGCGAUUCUGACGUGCAAAUCGAUCG
rnacentral:rRNA from 1 species